rnacentral:rRNA from 1 species
UGCCAGUAGUCAUAUGCUUGUCUCAAAGAUUAAGCCAUGCAUGUCUCAGUACAAGCCAAAUUAAGGUGAAACCGCGAAAGGCUCAUUAAAUCAGUUAUGGUUCCUUAGAUCGUACCCACAAUUACUUGGAUAACUGUGGUAAUUCUAGAGCUAAUACAUGCAAACAGAGCUCCGACCGGAGACGGAAGGAGUGCUUUUAUUAGAUCAAAACCAAUCGCUGGCGGGUUCGCUCGUCAUCGUACAACUUGGUGACUCUGAAUAACUUUACGCUGAUCGCACGGUCAUCGCACCGGCGACGCAUCUUUCAAAUGUCUGCCUUAUCAACUGUCGAUGGUAGGUUCUGCGCCUACCAUGGUUGUAACGGGUAACGGGGAAUCAGGGUUCGAUUCCGGAGAGGGAGCCUGAGAAACGGCUACCACAUCCAAGGAAGGCAGCAGGCGCGCAAAUUACCCACUCCCGGCACGGGGAGGUAGUGACGAAAAAUAACGAUACGGGACUCAUCCGAGGCCCCGUAAUCGGAAUGAGUACACUCUAAACCCUUUAACGAGGAUCAAUUGGAGGGCAAG